UAUCUAUCCUUAUUCUCUCACCUCACAUCACAACCUCCUCUUUCUUCGUCUUCUUUCUCGCUCUUCUUUUCUUCAAUGCUCCGCUAUAUUUUUUCUCUGAUUUGAAGGAGGUUAAAUCGAUUUCUAUUUUUUUCUCUCUCACCGUCGACGCUAUUCAAUGGUCCGCUACCACACUUUCUCUGAUUUGAAGGAGGGUCGAUCGAUUUAUGAGCCAAUCACCGUCGAGGUUUUCGUUUUAGGGUUACUGAUUUUUUUGGGUUUUUUAUGUGGGUUGUUUCAGAUCUAGUUUUUUUUGUUAAUUUAUCAAUUUUCCUUCAAAACCCCAUAUUUAUCCUCUCUUUUUUUCGUUAAUUUCGUAUGUUUUUCGUUAAUUUCGUAUGUUUUUUUCGUUUUCUCGAUUUUUAUUUAUCCUCUCUCUUUUUCGAUUUUUGUUUCAGAUCUGGUUUUUUCUUGAUUUUUUCGUUGGGUUUUUGUCCUAAUUAUUUCUAGGUUUUUCUUCUUCUCAUCAGAUUUGGGUUUUUUUUGGGGAUUAUAUAUGAUUUUGUGUUGAAUUUUUAAUCUGGUGGACUAUCUGGUGUUUUGUCUGUUCUUUAGGAGUAUCUCAAGCACCUACAGAAGUUAAUUUGAAGCGUUUUGUUAAAGAGGUAUCUCUCAAAAUUUUGACUGGUAUUGUUGUUCCUCUUACCUUUACUGGUGAUCUUAUUUGUCUUAUUGAGCGGAUUUUUUUGAAGCUAAAUCUGGAUAUAACAAGAUUUUCUCAAAAUUUAUUGCUACUGAGAUGCACAAGUUCUUGAGACCUAAUGGACAUGAUGGACUCUGUUAUCAUCGGACUCGGAGGAGGCUUGGCAAUGUGAGUUCAGCAUAAUAUUGUUAUCAUUGAACUUAAAGGAGACUGGGCAAUUUGAGGGUCGAUUCUAUGUCUAAACCAUCUCUAAGUAGCGAAAUUAUCGGCACAUGACUCAGGAUUAUGAGAUUUGAGUUUGAGUUCCAGAUUUGAAGUUGGUUUCGAUCCAAAAACCAGAUUUAAAGUCCGUUUUGGUUCCAGAUUUUUGUUGUGGAGUUUAAAGUGUACAUGUAAUUAUAUGAGAUUUGUAUUAGAUUUUGUUCGAAGUAUAAUAGAAUUUAGUUGUAGAAUUUUUUUUCCACUUGUAAUUACAUUUAUUAUCAAUAAUAAUUGAAUUGAUUAA